rnacentral:rRNA from 1 species
AGAGUUUGAUCCUGGCUCAGAACGAACGCUGGCGGCAGGCUUAACACAUGCAAGUCGAACGCCCUCUUUUAGAGGGAGUGGCAGACGGGUGAGUAACGCGUGGGAACCUACCUAUUGGUAAGGAACAACACAGAGAAAUUUGUGCUAAUACCUUAUAAGCCCCGAGGGGGAAAGAUUUAUCGCCAAUAGAUGGGCCCGCGUUUGAUUAGCUAGUUGGUGAGGUAAUGGCUCACCAAGGCGACGAUCAAUAGCUGGUCUGAGAGGAUGAUCAGCCACACUGGGACUGAGACACGGCCCAGACUCCUACGGGAGGCAGCAGUGGGGAAUAUUGGACAAUGGGCGCAAGCCUGAUCCAGCCAUGCCGCGUGUGUGAUGAAGGCCCUAGGGUUGUAAAGCACUUUCAACGGUGAAGAUAAUGACGGUAACCGUAGAAGAAGCUCCGGCUAACUUCGUGCCAGCAGCCGCGGUAAUACGA